rnacentral:lncRNA from 1 species
CCAUUCCAGGCCCCAGCUCCUGGAGGACAUUUCGAACACACCGUGAGGGGGAAGGGAAGCUGCUGUGUUGAAGGUGCUUCUGGAAUAGUAUUUUCAUCUCGUCCACUUUUUUUUUUUUUUUUUUGAGACGGAGUCUCGCUCUGUCGCCCAGGCUAGAGUGCAGUUGCGCGAUCUUGGCUCACUGCGAGUUCCACCUCCUGGGUUCACGCCAUUCUCCUGCCUCAGCCUCCCAAGUAGCUGGAACUACAGGCGCCCACUACCACGCCCAGGUAAUUUUUUGUAUUUUUAGUAGAGACAAGGUUUCACCAUGUUAGCCAGGAUGAUCUCCAUCUCCUAACCUCGUGAUCCGCCUGUCUCGGCCUCCCAAAGUGUUGGGAUUACAGGCGUGAGCCACCGCGCCAGGCUGAAGUGCAGUGGUGUGAACAUAGCUCACUGCAGCCUCGAUCUCCUGGACUCAAGCAAUCCUCCCACCUCAGCCUCCCCAGUAGUUGGUACUACAGGUGUGCACCACCACAUCCAGCUAAUUUUUUGAUUUUUUUAUAGAGAUGGGCUUUCGCUGUGUUGCCCAGGCUAAUUUUGAGCUCCUGGGCUCAAGCGAUCUUCCCGUGUCAGCCUCCUAAAGUGCUGGGAUUACAGGCCUGAACCACC